ensembl:lncRNA
GAAAAUGCAGUCUAUGCAGUUAUCAAACCAUUCACUAUCAUCUGAGAGCAGAGACUGAGCAGUUAAUCUGGAGACUAUCCCUAGAGAUGGAGUAUGAUGCUCCUGGACUCUGAACAAAAAAACAGGACAGUGUGGUGUGAGUGAUGGCUGAAAGCACCUGGGGACAGAGAAGAGGCUGGAUGUGCCUGGGUUGGGGUGUGACCAUCUAAACACAAAUGAAAUCACCUCAUCAGAAGAGCAUGAUAUGCACCUGAAAAGGAAGAGAUCCUUAAAGACACAGAACUGGUGUAUGUAAGAGGCUCCUCAAGUUCCCUGUGCUGUGAUCAGGAAGGCAUGCAGAAGUUUUGGAGAGAAGAAAUGUUUGCUGUUUGUUUGCAUACCUGCAGAUGUAAAGCUGGGAGUAACUGUGAAUUGUCUGGAUAAGUUUAACUUGUGCAGAUCCAGUGAAACAAGCAGUUAUCCUGGGCCAAGUCCAUGCUGGCACAACUACUUGCUGAGCUGCUUUUGCUCCAGGGAUUGUGUUUUCUCAGAUGCACCCAGCCUGAUGCCAUCACAAAGAGGAGGAGUGGCUGACUGCUGCACUACAGGACUUUCAGGAGGGGAUUUCUGGGCAAAUUGUACCAUGGACAGAAAAUACCUCUGCUGCAUUAGCUGUGAAGCGGAUUGCAAAACCUACCUAGAGUUAUGCAAUUGUGAUACAAAGUUAGGGAACUGAACUUGUGUUUUGAUCUCAGUUUAUGAAAAAAAACAAAAACCUGAAAUGUGAGAACUUUAAUAUGAUAUAAAUGGUUUUAAUUUUUUAGUGAAGAAAGAAAGUUCAUGCAGGAAGAUCCAAGUUCAAAUUAAUUUAAAUCUGAUCAUAAAAGAGUGAUGGAGGACUUCUAGUCCAAAAGGGAGCUCAUUACCUGCCUAUUAAUAGCAAGCUAUUCACAGAGAUGGUCCAAGUGAAAUGUGUGGUAAUUUCCACCAUUUUGUUUUCAUGUUCAGUUUGACAGGAGUCGGUGGAAAUUACGCUCGCAGGUCUGAUAGGAUUCCUGUGGCUAACAAAAGCAGGAACAAUUCAAUAUUAUGAAGUAUUUAUAAGUCCCUAAGGCACAUUUACAGAUGUCCUUGGCAACAUCAAUUUCUAGCCUGUUAAUAGCUUUAAAAGCUAAAAGCAGAUCUGUAGACCUUUUCUAGGCACCAAAAAGCAGCAAAUGCUGACAGACAAGUAGUGAGUAGGCAGGUCCCACUCUACCCACCUCUGAUAACAAUCAAGUCCCUUUAUUGUGCAUUAGCUUCAGGGAAUGGAUUAGCCCUUUUGGCAGCCCACUAUAAAGCACUUUGCAGUAAUCUCAUUUUGAGAUCUGAAAGGCAUGAAUCAUCCAGGUCAAGUUUAAAUUGUACUUUAAAGCCAGAUUCUUAUCUUGUUUGUGCCACAAUGAAUAGAGUACUGUUGCGUGUUAGAGCUCAAGUUGUUAUGCUGCCAUGUAAUGUCAGCAUGCAGGUACACAAAAUAGGGCCCUAAAACUGAAAAAAUUGGCAUACUAGUAAGAAUUAGCUGAGGGAAGAAGUAGGAAUUGCUAUUUAUAACAAUGAAGAAUCAACUACUUCUAACAUUGAAUGAGAAGCUUUCUUACAGUAAAAAAAAAAAAAAGGGGAAUGGUCCUACGUCAACUAAAUGUAUAAAGCACUUACAGGUGAGGUUCCUACUUCUUCACUGAAUUCACCAGGAC